UACGUAGGGUGCAAGCGUUAAUCGGAAUUACUGGGCGUAAAGCGUGCGCAGGCGGUUUUGUAAGUCUGACGUGAAAUCCCCGGGCUCAACCUGGGAAUUGCGUUGGAGACUGCAAGGCUAGAAUCUGGCAGAGGGGGGUAGAAUUCCACGUGUAGCAGUGAAAUGCGUAGAGAUGUGGAGGAACACCGAUGGCGAAGGCAGCCCCCUGGGUCAAGAUUGACGCUCAUGCACGAAAGCGUGGGGAGCCAAAC
rnacentral:rRNA from 1 species